rnacentral:tRNA from 3 species
GCGGGAGUAUUUCAACUGUUAGAAUAUGUUCCUUCCCGGAACAAGGUAUAGGUGUAAAUCCUAUCUUCCGCUCCA